rnacentral:rRNA from 1 species
GACGUAGGGCGCGAGCGUUGUCCGGAUUUAUUGGGCGUAAAGAGCUCGUAGGCGGUUUGUCGCGUCUGCUGUGAAAACUCGGGGCUUAACCCCGGGCCUGCAGUGGGUACGGGCAGACUAGAGUGCGGUAGGGGAGACUGGAAUUCCUGGUGUAGCGGUGAAAUGCGCAGAUAUCAGGAGGAACACCAGUGGCGAAGGCGGUGCUCUGGGCCGGAACUGACGCUGAGGAGCGAAAGCGUGGGGAGCAAACAGG